rnacentral:rRNA from 1 species
GACGAACGCUGGCGGCGUGCCUAAUACAUGCAAGUCGAACGGAGUGGCGCACGGGGUAGUAAUGUAUAGCUAAUCUGCCCUACACUAUAGGACAACAGUUGGAAACGGCUGCUAAUACUCUAUAGGUGAGGAUCUGGCUAUAUUGUGUCAGCUAGUUGGUGAGGUAAUGGCUCACCAAGGCUAUGACGCAUAACUGGUCGGGGGGGAUGAUCCGUCACACUGGAACUGAGACACGGUCCAGAUUCCUACGGGAGGCAGCAGUAGGGAAUAUUGCUCAAUGGGGGAAACCCUGAAGCAGCAACGCCGCGUGGAGGAUGACACUUUUCGGAGCGUAAACUCCUUUUGUAAGGGAAGCGGUACCUAACGAAUAAGCACCGGCUAACUCCGUGCCAGCAGCCGCGGUAAUAC